rnacentral:rRNA from 1 species
CACGUAGGGUGCGAGCGUUUGUCCGGAAUUAUUGGGCGUAAAGAGCUCGUAGGCGGUGUGUCGCGUCGGCCGUGAAAACCUGCAGCUUAACUGUGGGCGUGCGGUCGAUACGGGCAUCACUGGAGUUCGGCAGGGGAGACUGGAAUUCCUGGUGUAGCGGUGAAAUGCGCAGAUAUCAGGAGGAACACCGGUGGCGAAGGCGGGUCUCUGGACGCAACACUGACGCUGAGGAGCGAAAGCGUGGGGAGCGAACAGG